rnacentral:lncRNA from 1 species
UGAGGAGUUGCUUAUGCAAGCUCAUGAAACUACAACUGUUGUGGUUCCUGGACAAGGGGAGGCAUACAAGCAUUUUGGAAUGGUGGUUCUUGAUAUUGAUGCUGUGAAGGGCAAAAUCUUUCAAAAAACAGUUGUUUCAGAUCUUCCCAAUUGGUGAUGGAUCCACGAGGAAGACAAAACUACCAAUACCUUGCCGCUCCAUGUAACGAGUAUUCAAAUGCCCUUAAGAACAUGUCCUCAUCCGAGACAUCUGGAGGUUUCAUUGAAGAGCAUAUGGUGCAGAACUCCUCCAAAUGUCUAUAUGGGCAUUCACCUGCAAAACCAUGAAACCUAGGCAUCAAAUCUAUCAGUCCAGUGUUGAAAACACAACGAAUAUCCUCCUUAUCAAUUGGAAACGGCUCCCUAGGAGCACUCUCAUGAGAUGGAGGAGGAAUCGUUCUGUUCUCAACAUAGAAAUCAGCAGAGUAUAUAUGAGAAGCAAUAUCAGAGUAACAAGCAGGAGGAGAAUCAUAGACACAAGCAGAAUGAGAAUUACUCACAGCCAAAAUAGGUAGACAUGGGAAAGAAGGGGGGAAAGAAGCAUGUAAUGAAAAUAUGCAACUAAAGCUACCUAAAUGCAACAACACAUAACAUCACACAUAAAACAGAACGACACACUCACAACACAAGACAAAACAGAACACACACUAACACAACAAAGACCUAAAAUCGAACCGCUGGUCCCCGACAAUGGGGCCAAAAUUUGAUGGGCUGUCGCAACCCACACAAAUUUGAUUGCAUAAAAGAAUGCAGUAUAGUGCUAGGGAAUGACUCCUAGGUCGUUUCUCAAGGACCAAACUGUGGUUCGAGAACCAGGUCAAAUACAAAGUGGGGGGGUUUUGAAAAGUUUUGUUAAUGCAAUUAAACUAAAUUAAAGCAUGGAAAUUAAAUACAACCAAACAUAAUUCAAAAUAUUAAAAUAACUGAACAAAGUAUGAAGACCGAACGAUCCUACAGAUGACCGAAUGGUUCUACAUUGAGACUGGACGAUCUCUAGAGAAAGUAAGGAAAUUGGAAUUGCAGGAAAAUAAAGAAACCGAACAGAAUAAACAACAACAUAGUGCAUGGAAACAUUAAAAAUGAACGAUGCAAUAGAUAAAGAUCCAGACAUAACUAAAACGAUUAACAUGAAACACUAAUUUAAGAAGAUGAAAAACAAUGCAACAUAUAAAUUAAAAUAUUNUAAGCAAGAGAAAUAACAAAACACAAACUUUGUCUACCAUUCACGUGACUCAACAUCAAUUUCAAUUGAAAUAAAAUGGUCUCCAUGGCCCUUGGGUAUGACAGCUUGGCCGUGGGCCCCAUUCUUCCAAGAAAAGUUGCAACACCUUUUUCCAAUUAAAAUUCCCAAGCAAUGAAUAUCACCAUUCUUCAAUCACUGCAGCUUCAAGGCGUUCCUCCCAGCAUCAGCAUGCACUUUUCAACAUGGAAGUCGUGCCACAAUUUUUCCUCAAGUAAAUCAAGAAAAUGGAGGGACCGUGAGCCCUCCUUCCAGCCAUCACUUGUGUGCUUUUUAAACGUUCCAGCCCAUCGCACACCUAUGCAUCUUCAAAAGGAAUGAAACAGCUGCCUCAUCC